rnacentral:tRNA from 1 species
CAAAAAAUAGUUUAAUAAAAACAUUAAUUUUGGAGAUUAAAUUUAUAAUUUUUUUUUAUUUUUUUGA